UUAAAUUGAAGAGUUUGAUCAUGGCUCAGAUUGAACGCUGGCGGCAGGCCUAACACAUGCAAGUCGAACGGUAACAGGAAUCAGCUUGCUGAUUCGCUGACGAGUGGCGGACGGGUGAGUAAUGUCUGGGAAACUGCCUGAUGGAGGGGGAUAACUACUGGAAACGGUAGCUAAUACCGCAUAACGUCGCAAGACCAAAGAGGGGGACCUUCGGGCCUCUUGCCAUCGGAUGUGCCCAGAUGGGAU
rnacentral:rRNA from 1 species